rnacentral:rRNA from 1 species
UACGUAGGUGGCAAGCGUUGUCCGGAUUUACUGGGCGUAAAGGGCGUGCAGGCGGUCUGUUAAGUCUAGGGUGAAAGCUCCCGGCUCAACUGGGAGAGGUCCUUGGAUACUGGCGGACUUGAGGGAUGCAGAGGAAAGUGGAAUUCCUGGUGUAGCGGUGAAAUGCGUAGAUAUCAGGAGGAACGCCGGUGGUGUAGACGGCUCUCUGGACCAUUACUGACGCUGAGGUACGAAAGCGUGGGUAGCAAACAGG